CUCUUCUAAAUCAUAGUAAGGGUUAUAAAGGCCAUUUGUAAGCAAAAUUUCAUAGCUCAUUAAAAAACAUCACAGAAGAAAAAAAUGUACCCUUUGAUCUUCUUCAUUCUUCUCUCUUUCUUUGGCCCAGUAAGUUUCAUUCUAGCUAGGGAGAAGCAAGAAGAGAGAAGAUGUAGACAGAGAAAACUUUCGGAGCUCCAGGGAUCAGUGAAAAAGAUUGUGCAUCCAAUUGCAUGGGCUUCUCAAAUUAGACCAAAGAGCUGUGCAGAUCUGGAUAUAUGUGGACCCUGCUGCACAUACAGUUCUACUGUUGGCUGUGAGAUUUUGAGCUCAGCAAGCGGAUGGCAAGAAGGAAAACAGAGAAACAAGAUCAAAACACCUAUUGCAUCUUGGAAACCUGGGGAUGUUCAGACCCCUCAAGACAACUUUGAAGUUGAUUCUUCAAAAGCUAGAAAAAUGUAAUUGGCACCUGGAUGGACACAUUUAUAGGAGCACCUUUGGUUGUCAGUCAUAAUCAUAAAUUGUCUUAUUGUUCUGCUAUGUAUGUUAAAGUGAAAAUUUUGAGAUUAUCCAAUAAAUUAUUGCAGAAUUUCA
rnacentral:lncRNA from 1 species